AUUCAGUUUGAGGAGUUAUUUAAGGGCAUGCUCUUCUCUUCUGUGUUUUUCUCGAUGAUGUCUACUUUCAGGGAAAAUGUGAUUGCAUCCUCCAGAUCAAAGCUACUAAAAAAGAAUGUCUAUAAAGAAGAUUUUAGGCACAUGACAGUUACGGUUCGCAUGCUUCCACAAUCCGUUCUUUCUGAGAAAGCAAACAAGAAUCUCCUGUGUCGACCCAGCACUUAGUUCUAGCAGAGGCAGUUGAAGGUGGAGAAGAAAUGCAAUGGUUAUUGUUCCCCAUUUAACCUAGGGCUGGGAGUCCAUUGGCCAUAGCGAACACUGCAGUGAGGGACAUCCAUCCCGGCUGGUGGGAAGAACGAGCGGCCAAUUUAACAUCACACGGAAGCAAAACACCAUUAAUCUAUGCAUGGAAUGAAUCAACAUUGGAUCUCCCAAGAGCCAGGGAAAGCGGGGGGAGGCUCAAAGCAGGACACGCUAAAGCAGCAGCACAUUUUCCCCCCUCAGAGCCUGUGUGUUCAUUGGACCGUGGAAAGAACCUUCCAGAGCCCAGCGCAUUUCCUGAGACUGCCAGCCUGGAAGGAGCUGGGGAAGGAGAUGGGUGCCAGGGGAAGAAACGGAGAUCACACUCAGAAGGAUUCAGCAACUCAGGUGUGGGGAAGUCAGGUGCGGCCUUUGGAGAAGAAUUACACCCUCCAAAGCCAAGCUGAUGACGCUGCCGUAGACUUGUGGGAGCUGCAGACGACGGGAGAAAGAUCCCAAGAGAACAGCUCGUCUGGGGUCAGGAUGCGUGAGCGGGUGCGGCUUCCCAACACGGAACCACAGUCAGGCUGGUAG
rnacentral:lncRNA from 1 species